rnacentral:rRNA from 1 species
UAGGGAAUCUUCCACAACGGGCGAAAGCCUGAUGGAGCAACGCCGCGUGUGUGAUGAAGGGUUUCGGCUCGUAAAACACUGUUGUAAGAGAAGAAUGACAUUGAGAGUAACUGUUCAAUGUGUGACGGUAUCUUACCAGAAAGGAACGGCUAAAUACGUGCCAG